rnacentral:rRNA from 1 species
AAUGAACGUUGGCGGCAUGGAUUAGGCAUGCAAGUCGAGCGAGAAGUGUAGCAAUACACGGAAAGCGGCGGAAGGGAGAGUAAUACGUGGGAAUCUGCCCUUAGACCUGGGAUAGCAGCGGGAAACUGCUGGUAAUACCAGAUAAUGUCUAUGGACCAAAGGUGUGAUUCCGUCUAGGGAUGAGCCCACGUCCUAUUAGCUAGUUGGUAGGGUAAUGGCCUACCAAGGCGAUGAUGGGUAGCGGGUGUGAGAGCAUGACCCGCCUCACUGGGACUGAGACACUGCCCAGACACCUACGGGUGGCUGCGGUCGAGAAUCUUCGGCAAUGGGCGCAAGCCUGACCGAGCGAUGCCGCGUGCGGGAUGAGGGCCUUCGGGUUGUAAACCGCUGUCGAGGGGGAGCAACUUCCAUAGAGUUAUCUUUAUGGAUUGAGUGAUACCUGGAGGAAGGACGGGCUAAGUUCGUGCCAGCCGCCGCAGUAAAAC